GACGAACGCUGGCGGCGCGCCUAACACAUGCAAGUCGAACGGAGCUUAAAGAGCUUGCUUUUUAAGCUUAGUGGCGAACGGGUGAGUAACGCGUGAGUAACCUGCCCUGGAGUGGGGGACAACAGUUGGAAACGACUGCUAAUACCGCAUAAGCCCACGGAUUCGCAUGGAUCUGCGGGAAAAGGAUUUAUUCGCUUCAGGAUGGACUCGCGUCCAAUUAGCUAGUUGGUGAGGUAACGGCCCACCAAGGCGACGAUUGGUAGCCGGACUGAGAGGUUGAACGGCCACAUUGGGACUGAGACACGGCCCAGACUCCUACGGGAGGCAGCAGUGGGGGAUAUUGCACAAUGGGGGAAACCCUGAUGCAGCGACGCCGCGUGGAGGAAGAAGGUUUUCGGAUUGUAAACUCCUGUCGUUAGGGACGAUAAUGACGGUACCUAACAAGAAAGCACCGGCUAACUACGUGCCAGCAGCCGCGGUAAAACGUAGGGUGCAAGCGUUGUCCGGAAUUACUGGGUGUAAAGGGAGCGCAGGCGGACCGGCAAGUUGGAAGUGAAAACUAUGGGCUCAACCCAUAAAUUGCUUUCAAAACUGCUGGCCUUGAGUAGUGCAGAGGUAGGUGGAAUUCCCGGUGUAGCGGUGGAAUGCGUAGAUAUCGGGAGGAACACCAGUGGCGAGGCGACCUACUGGGCACCAACUGACGCUGAGGCUCGAAAGCAUGGGUAGCAAACAGGAUUAGAUACCCUGGUAGUCCAUGCCGUAAACGAUGAUUACUAGGUGUUGGAGGAUUGACCCCUUCAGUGCCGCAGUUAACACAAUAAGUAAUCCACCUGGGGAGUACGACCGCAAGGUUGAAACUCAAAGGAAUUGACGGGGGCCCGCACAAGCAGUGGAGUAUGUGGUUUAAUUCGAAGCAACGCGAAGAACCUUACCAGGUCUUGACAUCCGAUGCAUAGUGCAGAGAUGCAUGAAGUCCUUCGGGACAUCGAGACAGGUGGUGCAUGGUUGUCGUCAGCUCGUGUCGUGAGAUGUUGGGUUAAGUCCCGCAACGAGCGCAACCCUUAUUGCCAGUUACUACGCAAGAGGACUCUGGCGAGACUGCCGUUGACAAAACGGAGGAAGGUGGGGAUGACGUCAAAUCAUCAUGCCCUUUAUGACCUGGGCUACACACGUACUACAAUGGCGUUUAACAAAGAGAAGCAAGACCGCGAGGUGGAGCAAAACUCAAAAACAACGUCUCAGUUCAGAUUGCAGGCUGCAACUCGCCUGCAUGAAGUCGGAAUUGCUAGUAAUCGCGGAUCAGCAUGCCGCGGUGAAUACGUUCCCGGGCCU
rnacentral:rRNA from 1 species